GACCAAUUUCCUAUAGGAAUUCCUAUAGGGAUUCCUACAGGAUCCUAUAGGAAUUCCUAUAGGAAUGUCCUAUAGGAAAUUGGG